rnacentral:rRNA from 1 species
AUUGAACGCUGGCGGCAGGCCUAACACAUGCAAGUCGAGCGGAUGAAGGGAGCUUGCUCCUGGAUUCAGCGGCGGACGGGUGAGUAAUGCCUAGGAAUCUGCCUGGUAGUGGGGGAUAACGUCCGGAAACGGGCGCUAAUACCGCAUACGUCCUGAGGGAGAAAGUGGGGGAUCUUCGGACCUCACGCUAUCAGAUGAGCCUAGGUCGGAUUAGCUAGUUGGUGGGGUAAAGGCCUACCAAGGCGACGAUCCGUAACUGGCCUGAGAAGAUGAUCAGUCACACUGGAACUGAGACACGGUCCAGACUCCUACGGGAGGCAGCAGUGGGGAAUAUUGGACAAUGGGCGAAAGCCUGAUCCAGCCAUGCCGCGUGUGUGAAGAAGGUCUUCGGAUUGUAAAGCACUUUAAGUUGGGAGGAAGGGCAGUAAGUUAAUACCUUGCUGUUUUGACGUUACCAACAGAAUAAGCACCGGCUAACUUCGUG